CUUAACGGUUUACAUGGCUUCUGAGGAUCUGUCAGAGGUGCUCCCACACAACUGGGGAUGAGGAGUGGCUGGGGACAGUGCUGUGUCAGGGUGGAACUGUGCUCCGGUGUGACGAGAUACAUGUGGAAGAGAGCUCAGAAGUGUGGCAACCAGCCUUGGAUGACCAAGAACAUCCCAGAGGGAGCCAUGAAGACUAGUAUAAGCAGAAAGUGAAUGGAAAUGCUAUGGUGCUGAAGUACCAGAAGUAGCAACAGAAAAAUGGUAUAUGCUGAUGGCACGUGUCUUCAGGAUAUCAUGGCGUCUUUAUACAGCUAUUCAGGACACCCAGAUCAGAAGACAAGAGACAGCAUGUCAUUUCCAACCUAAGAAGAGCCCAGGAGAUGUGAUGAGAACUCAUUUUCUGUAUCACCCAAGAUGGGAAGACCGACCACCUAGAUGAAAAUGUCCUUUAUGCAGACCUCAUCACAAAAAAUAGGAUGUUUUCUGCUGAAAGAUUUUGGGUGCCAAACUACAACCCAACACCUUCCCAAGAUUUCCAAGAAUUGCAAUUCUCAUGUGUUGCCCACACAUCUAAUACAUAAAAUUUUUUAAACUUUCAUGAGACGUUAUUGUCAUUUCUGACAAGGUCUUGACCAAACUGGAAAUGAUUCCUGCUCAAAAGUACAAUUUAUCAUUUCCUCAUGACAAAUGUGGCGAAGAGAACUAGAAACUUAUAAUGAACUACUUGCUCUAUGGUUUCGGACUGGUUUCCAUGACCCAUAUUUCCAUAAUUUAUGAUCUCUGAAGAUAAAUAUGUUUUCCUCAUCCACAAAAUGUAACAUCUUUUGCAAUUGUUGUGGACUUUGGCUGUACUUUUCCAUCUUCUUUCUGACUACUGAUGGAUUUAUACUUCCACUAUUUUGCUAUU